CAAAGACAAGAAGAGGUUUGGCGC
rnacentral:siRNA from 1 species